UUUCUCAAAUUGUGGAAUUGGAAGCCACGAAAUGGAAGAAGAUUUUUAUUCGAGCUUAAGAAAACUCGAACACACAUCCCGCUCUCACCAUUCACCCACAACAUAAGCAAACCCACACCCACACCGCCGCCGCAAGCCUUUGUCCUUCGCCGCCCCUGAUCGCGUCGGUUGCCUAGUCGAUUGCCGUCCCCGUUGCCGUCGUGUUCACCGGCAGCAGUAGUUCGCGACACCCAUGGCGAUUUAAACGUCCACGACUUCAAUCCCGCCACCAGUAGCUUUGUAGCAGCGUUUAAUCUCAGCGACGCGCAGACCCACAACCCAAAAAAGGAUCCCGUUUUGGAUUACCCAUGGCUAAAGGUGUUUAGAUCUGCAAGCUCGAACCUUUUCGAUCAUAAACCAGCAAGCUUUGGAGCUCUUUCCUUAAGAUUCAGCAGGGUAUUGAAGAGACGUAGUUGGCAAUGUCAAAGUAUGAUUUUCCAAGGCUUCCACGGGCAGAUAUUGCAUUGCUACUAGCAGAUUACCAAAUUGCUGCUGUAACAGAGCGGGACCUCCUUCAUCCUUCACUAGAUUUGGUUUCAGAUCUCUACACACGUUUAAUGAUCUACCUCGACUUUCUCCAUGAGGAAGACCAAGGACAAGUUGAGUUUGCUGCCUUGGAUCAGCUUGAGAACCCUGAUCUGCAUAUGGAUUCAGUCUCGACAAUGAAGUUGCUCAACAAAAUAAAGCAUGUCAUUGCCUCUCUUGACUGUCCAAAAAAAUUUACGUUGAAGGAUUUGAUAAAACCUGAAGCAGAUAGGACAGAAAUUUUCCUUAGUGCAAUGCUGAACUUUUGCAUUCACAAAGAUGCCAAAAUCAAUCUCCAUGCUCCAGUUAUGGAUGAGCUAAAUACUUUUGGUGACCAGCAAAGGGAAUGGGAGGUUAAAAUUUCCCAGUUGAAUGCAGAGAUCGCAGAGUACAAUGAAGCCAGAGAAAGGGAAAUACCUUUUGUUCAAGAGAUUGAUGCUAAAGUGAAAGAACUACAUCAAACUAUUGGGGGACUUAACAAUCAACAGAUGUCAUUACGUGCUUCAAUCCGGAAGUUGAAAGAGAAAGCUGGAGAAAUGGAUGAGAAGAUCUCUAAUGCAGAAUUUCUCUUAGUACAAAGUGUCCAAGAAAAUGCUAAUUUGCGUUCAAAAAUUGUUCAAUCACCAGAUAAGUUGCAGAGGGCUUUGGAGGAGAAAAAAUUAGCUAGGGAGGAAGCUAAGAAUGCUGAAAAAUUGGCUAUGCAAGCAUGUCAAGAAAAGACUGGCAUUGUUGAGGUUUAUUCAAAGGUUUCCAAGAAAAUGUUGAAGCACCUUUCCCUGAUGCAGACUAUACACGAACAGGUGAACUCUGCUAAAUCGGUUGAAAGAGAAUUCAAGGCCUUAAAAGUUAAGCUAAGUGAUGAGGAAGUUCAAGAUAAAUCGCUCCAGGUCAAAUUGGUUGAACUUCAAGCAAAAGUGCACCAGUUGAAAGAUUUAGUAACGCAGACAGAGAAGGAUAGAGAUGUGAAAUGUGAGGAAGCUACAAAAGAUUUGAAUGGCGUGAGGUCUCAUGUUGAAUCUAUGAGGCAUGAUCUAGAGCAAAGGCAAAGAAAUGUUGAAGCAGUGUUCAUGGAGGUUGAUGUUCUGACUUCAAAAACAAAUUCCGUAAGACAAUCUAGUGUUCUCAAGCAGCAAGAACUACUGAAUAAAUGCGAGAGUAUUAUAAAAGAGUUUCACCAGUAUACAAACUUAAUUGGGGCGUUGAUGGAAGUGGAGGCAAAAGAGGAAGAGGAAGAGGAAGAGGAAGAGCGGACACAUUUCAGUGGAUGAUAUUCGUUGUCCAUUGUAAAGGAACUUGUGGUGGUGAAGGAAGUUUCCAAGCGGAGUGGAGGUUCGUUUUAGGGCAGGUUGGUAUCCUUAGGUUGGACGGUUCAUUUGGAGAAUUGGGGGUUCGUUCAAGUGUGUGGGUUUUAUUGUUUUCAUGAUUGUAUUUAAUUUCCUCGUGUCAAACUUAGGCAAUUCGGUCAACGAUGAAGCUAUGGUGGUUACAAAACUUAAUAGAAAUAGGUUGACAACGGUUCAACUGCCAGCUGCACUUCUUGAUUUCGAGUCUUUUUGUAACAAUCUCCAUCUUUAUAAGCAUCCAGAGUUCCUUCCCUCUUUGCUUCAUUGAGUUGACUUGAGUUAACAUUUUUCAAGUAACUCGAACUCGAGAAGGUCCAAGCAUCUGCCAAACUUGUUUAAUGGAACAGUUUUGGUUAGCAUAUCAACUGAAUUACUAGAGGCAAUUCAGUCAAUGAUGAAGCUCUGGUGGUUACAACACUUAAUAGAAAGAGGUCGACAACGGUUCAACUGCCAACUGCGAUGUUCUUCUUCUUGAUUUCGAGUCUUUAUGUAACAAAAAGAGAGAGAGAGAGAAAU